GCGGUGUGUUGUUCAUUAAACGUGUCACAAGAUAUGAAUCAUGACAAAGAGUGCCAGUAUCUCAGAUGACUAACAUAAACAAACGGGACGGUAAGCGUGCACUCAUUUCUCCAACUCACGUGGGCUUGUGGGAAUCGAGUUAUGCUAAAAAUCCCCUUUUCUGGGGCCGAGCGUCUCUCUCUCUCUCUCUCUCGAUCCCCUCCCCACCGCUCUCUCUCUUGAUUUCUGGCUCAUGUUAGAUCCUGUCUGCUUCAGCAACGUCCGAAACCCCAACUCCUCCUGUCUCUCUCUCUCCCUCUCUCCACCUCGUCUCAGGCGGCGUGGAAUCCUGGCUGUGUUUAAUUGUAGAGUGGUAAGAUCUGAGGGAAAGAUUGGGAGCCGCUGCAUCUGUCAACGCUUUAUGAGCCCCAACCCCGGGACAGAGAGACAGGGAAGGUGUAGGAAGGAAGUGUUUGGAGUUUGGGAAAGGGUGAGUUGGGGAAUUUGUACGCAGUGGGGAGGUGAAGAAAGAGGUGAAACGCUGAACUAAGACUUCAGAAUUGGAGGAAAAAAAAGAGGGAGGGAAAGAAAAGAGGCCCACCAUUGGAGAAAGGGCAACAAGAGGGAAAAGUGGGAAAACAAGAAUAAGUUAGAAAAAGGAGGAAGGAAGGAAGGAAGGAAGGGGGAGGUGAGUGAAAAGUUAGAGAGGGAGAGAGAGAGAGAGUCAAACGCAGUGAACGAGAGGAGACGCAGAUGAGAAAAACAGACGCUGUGGAUGGCCUGGGUGGAGAGAGAACCAGUUGUUUUCUAAGUCGCCUUUCGGACUGGAAUGCACUCUGAGAAUUUGAGAUUCCCGACGCCUUACUGCCAACUUUGCUUGCAACACGCGCCGGGCCCCGCAGACGGAUCAUGUCUGUGUAUGGAGUCAAGCGUAGCCCAGUUCCCGAAGGAGUUGGGUAUGGAGCGAGUGGAGAGGACUGGAGCAUCUCCGGUUUACGCUGAGGAGAUCCGGCAUCUGUGCUACAGGUGGGACUCGCCGUGCGUUCGGGAGAUCUGGCAGGAGUGCGGAUGUGUCCAGCGGUGGUAUUACCCGGAGUUGUUGCAUCCCUUCAAUGGCGACCAUGUUUUGAAUGUCAGAGGUCAGCGGUGCUACUCAUCCUACAUCCAGGAGUGGGACAACGUUCAUCAGCCUGAAUACAACGGACAUUGCGAGAGGAGACGGGUGUCAUUCCGGCAUCACGAGGAGCGACCCGAGACUGGCAGACAAUCACACUGUAACGGGCCGAGCUCUGGACACGGGGGUUUUUUCCCAACCGAGGUGCCCUCCAGCAAGUUGGGAUGCUCCAGGGCACUCGGGAACGGGCUACAGGUGAACGGACCGCAGCGGGAAGUAAGGACGUCUCGGGGGGACGCAGGUCUGGAGAAACAUGGCAAGCAGAGGAAGAGCCAGGGAACAGUACGGGAACAGAUCAAAAAAGUGGUCACAGAGCUCGAGGAAGUACUGGGUGGUCUCAAACAGGUCCAGUUGGAGAUGAAAGAGGUCGUCCAACAGAUCAACAUUCUAACGUCCAAUAUUGACCUUGGCGAAGACGAGCCAAUUCUAUCCAAUGGACUCUCCAAAGAUGCCACCAAAAGCAGUCGAACUGGGGUUGUGGCAUUGAUGCACAAUUCAAACGGCGAAGAGGACAUGUCAACUUCCAAUUCCUCUCUCGCACACAACCCUGUCACUGUGGAUUUAGUUCAUAUUAACAGUCCUUGGCCGAUGAGAAACCGCACAAGCCCGUCCCCUCCUGAGCAACGAUCCGUUACUGUUGAGGAUAAAGGCAAACGAGUUGUGAAACAGAGCUCAGAGACUCAAAGGACGGCCAAUGGAAACUGCCUACCGCAUCGAACAGCAAGGAAAGGCCAACUGGAAAACCACAGACCCCCUGUAGCUCCAGUAGUGUGCACUAACUCAAAUAAAACCCACCGGCCUCCACCUUACCCUCAGAAUGGACAGGUGAAGAUGAGGACCCCUCCCUAUCCUGGAAAACAUAAGACGCUCUCCUCCACCAUAGUGGACUGAUGGCACACAACCCAGCUGACUCACACCGGACGGAGAAUCCCGGGCCGAGGGGCAGUGAUUAUAUUUCCCAUGGAAAACUCCAGAAACAUCUCAAACCCCUCUUUCUCUCUCACACCAAUGCAAAAAAAGCUAGUUUGGACCAACUUAAAGUCCCCAUGAAAUGGCAUUCACAGCUCAAUUUACUUUCAUAGUCUGAUGUAUUACUGAUUGAAACUCAGUGAGGAAACGUGUGAGUCAUGUGGUUGGAGGGGCUGGGUCACAAAGCAAGAGGGAUUUGUGAUGUCAGCUGAAAAAGAAAGUUGUUUCAGAGGCAGAGCAAGUUGUUACAUUUUGUUGAAAGACUAUGAAAACAAGCAUUUUUUAAAAUAAGAAUAAUGUGCAUCAAGGAAUUUUAAACAAACAGGAACAUGUUUUAAGAAAGUAAAUUUUUUUGCAAAUAUAUGCAUUUAAAAUGUACGGUCUUUUUUUCCCCCCCAGGAAAUCAGUCCAAAAAUAUGGACUAGACCAGUGGUUCUCAAUUCCGGUCCGUAGCAACCACAUAGCAGCAUUCUAAAAAGCCACUCACGACAUAAAACUUUAGCAACUGCAUAACAACACCUUGGCAACUGCAUAGCAGCAUUCUAAAAAGCCACGCACAACAUAACACCUUAGCAACUGCAUAGCAACACAUUAGCAACAUUUUAAAAAGCCACUCACAACAUAACACCUUAGCAACCGCAUAGCAACACCUUAGCAACUGCAUAGCAACAUUCUAAAAAGCAAUUCACAACAUAACACCUUAGCAACUGCAUAGCAACAUUCUAAAAAGUCACUCACAGCACCUUAGCAACAGCAUAGCAACACCUUAGCAACUGCAUAGCAACAUUUAAAAAAAGCCACUCACAACAUAACACCUUAGCAACCGCAUAGCAACACUUUAGCAACUGCAUAUCAACAUUCUAAAAGUCACUCACAACAUAACACCUUAGCAACUGCAUAGCAACAUUCGAAAAAGCCACUCACAGCACCACAGCAACUGUAUAGCAACAUUCUAAAAAGCCACUCACAACGUAACACCUUAGCAACUGCAUAGCAACAUUCUAAAAAGCCACUCACAGCACCUUAGCAACUGCAUAGCAAAACCUUAGCAACUGCAUAGCAACAUUUUUAAAAAGCCACUCACAACAUAACACCUUAGCAACACCUUAGCAACUGCAUAACAACAUUCUAAAAAGCCACUCACAGCACCUCAGCAACUGUAUAGCAACAUUCGAAAAAGCCACUCACAACGUAACACCUUAGCAACCGCAUAGCAACAUUCCAAAAAGCCACUCACAACACCUUAGCAACCGCAUAGCAAAACCUUAGCAACCGCAUAGCAACAUUCCAAAAACCCACUCACAACACCUUAGCAACCGCAUAGCAAAACCUUAGCAACUGCAUAGCAACAUUCCAAAAAGUCACUCACAGCACCUUAGCAACCGCAUAGCAAAACCUUAGCAACCGCAUAGCAACAUUCCAAAAACCCACUCACAACACCUUAGCAACCGCAUAGCAAAACCUUAGCAACCGCAUAGCAACAUUCCAAAAAGCCACUCACAGCACCUUAGCAACCGCAUAGCAAAACCUUAGCAACCGCAUAGCAACAUUCCAAAAACCCACUCACAACACCUUAGCAGCUGCAAAGCAAUGUCCUAAAAACACUCAGAACACCUCAGAAAAUAAAUUUAAUUAAACAAACUGUCAUUUAAAAGUGCUAAACUGAGUGAUAAAUGUCUGUUGCGAUAUUUAAUAUGAAAAUAAACAAAAUUGCUCAUAUUAAUUUCCUCAUCCAAACCGUUAGUAGGAAGUGACUGGAAUGUAUUUAUUUUGAAAGCCUUUUCUUGGCUUUUGUCAACUAAGUGCAGUUUUGCGUGGCUGUGACAUAAACUAAAGACUAUUGGGUAUUUUAAAAAGGCACCAGUCUUUCAUUAUGUUCCGCCCCAACUUCCUGUUUCAAAAGGAAAUACAUCAACACAGGAAAGAAAUCUGAGCUCAUCAAACCAUUUCAUGGGACUUUAACUGGUUUAGAUGGGCACAGUAGUUGUUUUUGAAGGUAGACCAGUGUAUUAUCGUGAAAGAUCCCAAAACAAGCCGGUUAUUUAUGCUGACUGAACUAGUUUAGCUGGUCAAGGGUCAGUUUUGGGGCAAGCUGCACUGUGUAAACCUUUUGGAACGAGCUGCCCUUCUUAACUAACCUGUGACCUGAUAUCUGUGUGUUUCUCCUUUAAAAGGAACACAACCAAGAAAUAAGCUGCUUUAGGUUGGAAAUGUACGACUUUAUUACAGGGCCUAGAGCUCUCAAUAUGCAGAUAAGACUGUGACUACCCGGCUAACGAAAAUAUGUUCUAAGAACGUUUUGCUAACCAGUGUUCGGUAAAGUUACUUUUAAAAGUAAUGCAUCACAAUAUUCCCUUACUCCAUAAAAAAGUAACUAAUUGGAUUACUUAGCUACUUUUUAUGGAAAGUAAUGCAUUACAUUACCUUUGUGUUACUUUUUGUCACCUGGGCUGGGC
rnacentral:lncRNA from 1 species